UCAGGGUGAAGAAGGAUUUCCGGGCUUCAAAGGCGACGUGGGACCCAAAGGAGAGCGGGGUGACGUUGGCGUUCCAGGCUCUCGUGGCCCCGACGGCCCCGAAGGCCCCAAAGGUCGAAUGGGCCCCAUAGGAGAAGCCGGCCCUAUAGGGGCCAAUGGAGAGAAGGGUAAACUGGGGGUGCCAGGACUGCCGGGUUACCCAGGAAGGCAAGGCCCCAAGGGCUCUCAGGGGUUCCCGGGCUUCCCAGGCACCAAUGGUGAGAAGGGAAUGAGGGUGAGUGACCCUAUAAGGAUAUGGGGU